GACGAACGCUGGCGGCGUGCCUAAUACAUGCAAGUAGAACGCUGAAGAGAGGAGCUUGCUCUUCUUGGAUGAGUUGCGAAUGGGUGAGUAACGCGUAGGUAACCUGCCUUGUAGCGGGGGAUAACUAUUGGAAACGAUAGCUAAUACCGCAUAACAAUGGAUGACACAUGUCAUUUAUUUGAAAGGGGCAAUUGCUCCACUACAAGAUGGACCUGCGUUGUAUUAGCCAGUAGGUGAGGUAACGGCUCACCUAGGCGACGAUACAUAGCCGACCUGAGAGGGUGAUCGGCCACACUGGGACUGAGACACGGCCCAGACUCCUACGGGAGGCAGCAGUAGGGAAUCUUCGGCAAUGGGGGCAACCCUGACCGAGCAACGCCGCGUGAGUGAAGAAGGUUUUCGGAUCGUAAAGCUCUGUUGUAAGUCAAGAACGAGUGUGGGAGUGGAAAGUUCACACUGUGACGGUAGCUUACCAGAAAGGGACGGCUAACUACGUGCCAGCAGCCGCGGUAAUACGUAGGUCCCGAGCGUUGUCCGGAUUUAUUGGGCGUAAAGCGAGCGCAGGCGGUUUGAUAAGUCUGAAGUUAAAGGCUGUGGCUCAACCAUAGUUCGCUUUGGAAACUGUCAAACUUGAGUGCAGAAGGGGAGAGUGGAAUUCCAUGUGUAGCGGUGAAAUGCGUAGAUAUAUGGAGGAACACCGGUGGCGAAAGCGGCUCUCUGGUCUGUAACUGACGCUGAGGCUCGAAAGCGUGGGGAGCGAACAGG
rnacentral:rRNA from 1 species